rnacentral:rRNA from 1 species
UACGUAGGGUGCGAGCGUUGUCCGGAUUUAUUGGGCGUAAAGAGCUCGUAGGCGGUUUGUCGCGUCGGCCGUGAAAUCUCCACGCUUAACGUGGAGCGUGCGGUCGAUACGGGCAGACUUGAGUUCGGUAGGGGAGACUGGAAUUCCUGGUGUAGCGGUGAAAUGCGCAGAUAUCAGGAGGAACACCCGUAGCGAAGGCGGCACUCUGGGCCGAUACUGACACUGAGGGAGCGAAAAGCGUGGGGAGCGAACAGG